UACGAGAGGUCCAAGCGUUAGUCGGAAUCACUGGGCUUAAAGGGUGCGUAGGCGGGCUUGUAAGUGUCUUGUGAAAUCCCCGGGCUCAACCUGGGAAUUGCAGGGCAUACUGCGAGUCUAGAGGAAUCUAGAGGCCGGCAGAACGAUAGGUGGAGCGGUGGAAUGCGUAGAUAUCUAUCGGAAUGCCAAAGGUGAAGACAGCCGGCUGGGGAUUUCCUGACGCUGAGGCACGAAAGCGUGGGGAUCAAAC
rnacentral:rRNA from 1 species